rnacentral:tRNA from 1 species
UAGGCCAGUAGCUCCAAUGGUAGAGCGGCGGUCUCCAAAACCGUUUGUUGAGGGUUCGAGUCCUUCCUGGCCUGCCAG